rnacentral:rRNA from 1 species
GACGAACGCUGGCGGCGUGCUUAACACAUGCAAGUCGAACGGAAAGGCCCUGCUUUUGUGGGGUGCUCGAGUGGCGAACGGGUGAGUAACACGUGAGUAACCUGCCCUUGACUUUGGGAUAACUUCAGGAAACUGGGGCUAAUACCGGAUAGGAGCUCCUGCUGCAUGGUGGGGGUUGGAAAGUUUCGGCGGUUGGGGAUGGACUCGCGGCUUAUCAGCUUUUUGGUGGGGUAUUGGCUUACCAAGGCUUUGACGGGUAGCCGGCCUGAGAGGGUGACCGGCGACAUUGGGACUGAGAUACGGCCCAGACUCCUACGGGAGGCAGCAGUGGGGAAUAUUGCACAAUGGGCGGAAGCCUGAUGCAGAAACGCCGCGUGCGGGAUGACGGCCUUCGGGUUGUAAACCGCUUUCGCCUGUGACGAAGCGUGAGUGACGGUAAUGGGUAAAGAAGCACCGGCUAACUACGUG